AGUGAACGCUGGCGGUAGGCCUAACACAUGCAAGUCGAACGGCAGCACAGUAAGAGCUUGCUCUUACGGGUGGCGAGUGGCGGACGGGUGAGGAAUACAUCGGAAUCUACUUUUUCGUGGGGGAUAACGUAGGGACACUUACGCUAAUACCGCAUACGACCUACGGGUGAAAGCAGGGGAUCUUCGGACCUUGCGCGAUUGAAUGAGCCGAUGUCGGAUUAGCUAGUUGGCGGGGUAAAGGCCCACCAAGGCGACGAUCCGUAGCUGGUCUGAGAGGAUGAUCAGCCACACUGGAACUGAGACACGGUCCAGACUCCUACGGGAGGCAGCAGUGGGGAAUAUUGGACAAGGGGCGCAAGCCUGAUCCAGCCAUACCGCGUGGGUGAAGAAGGCCUUCGGGUUGUAAAGCCCUUUUGUUGGGAAAGAAAAGCAGCAGGUUAAUACCCCGCUGUUCUGACGGUACCCAAAGAAUAAGCACCGGCUAACUUCGU
rnacentral:rRNA from 1 species